AAGACGGGUGGCAGCAGUGGGGAAUAUUGGACAAUGGGCGAAAGCCUGAUCCAGCCAUGCCGCGUGUGUGAAGAAGGCCUUCGGGUUGUAAAGCACUUUCAGUGGGGAAGAAAGCCUUGGGGCUAAUACCCUCGAGGAAGGACAUCACCCACAGAAGAAGCACCGGCUAACUCCGUGCCAGCAGCCGCGGUAAUACGGAGGGUGCGAGCGUUAAUCGGAAUUACUGGGCGUAAAGCGCGCGUAGGCGGUCUGAUAAGCCGGUUGUGAAAGCCCCGGGCUCAACCUGGGAACGGCAUCCGGAACUGUCAGGCUAGAGUGCAGGAGAGGAAGGUAGAAUUCCCGGUGUAGCGGUGAAAUGCGUAGAGAUCGGGAGGAAUACCAGUGGCGAAGGCGGCCUUCUGGACUGACACUGACGCUGAGGUGCGAAAGCGUGGGUAGCAAACAGGAUUAGAUACCCCUGUAGUC
rnacentral:rRNA from 1 species